AUAAUAACUUACGAAUCGCAUGAGCCUUGUGCCGGCGAUGGUUCAUUCAAAUUUCUGCCCUAUCAACUUUCGAUGGUAGAGUAGUGGUCUACCAUGGUUUCAACGGGUAACGGGGAAUUAGGGUUCUAUUCCGGAGAGGGAGCCUGAGAAACGGUACCACAUCCAAGGAAGGCAGCAGGCGCGCAAAUUACCCAAUCCCGACACGGGGAGGUAGUGACAAUAAAUACUGAUACAGGGGCUCUUUUGGGUCUUGUAAUUGGAAUGAGUACAAUUUAAAUCCCUUAACGAGGAACAAUUGGAGGGCAAGUCUGGUGCCAGCAGCCGCGGUAAUUCCAGCUCCAAUAGCGUAUAUUAAAGUUGUUGCAGUUAAAAGCUCGUAGUUGAACCUUGGGCCUGGCUGGCCGGUCCGGCUCAACGGUGCACUGGUCCGGCCGGGCCUUUCCUUCUUGGGGAGCCCGAUGCCC
rnacentral:rRNA from 1 species